rnacentral:lncRNA from 1 species
GGGCCUGCUUUUCUUUCUCCAGGGCCUCUUGGAGGGUAACUACUUCGGCGGCCUUUUCUUUGAGGCAAGCGACUUCGGCCCGACGACGCUCUUCCGCCUGGAUGGCAUCCCUCCUCAUCCGGUUCGUCGCCUCGAUGUUGGCAAGGAGCUGGUGCCCAAUCUGUAAGGGCGGCUAGGGGAUCAGAACAAGGGUCGGAAAGCCAAUUAAAUGAAGACUUGAAAGACUUGUUUACCUCGAGAAAGGAUCCUAGGGAGUCCCAAACCUACUGCUCAAGAUCGGUGUGGUCAAUCCUCUCGACGACUUCAGGCAGAAUGCAGCCGUCAAUCAACCGCUUGAUCAAGUCCUUAUCAUUGAAGGAAUUCUCCGGCUCUUCUUCGGAACCAAGGGACUCUUCAACGACGGCUCGGCGGCUACUCGCCCUGCGGAC